CAGGGUAUGGCUAAAAUAGAAAAGUACCUCACUUACACCGAGAAGAUAUUCGUGCAAGUCGAAUUACCCUGA
rnacentral:tRNA from 1 species